rnacentral:rRNA from 1 species
GACGAACGCUGGCGGCGUGCCUAAUACAUGCAAGUAGAACGCUGAAGGAGGAGCUUGCUUCUCUGGAUGAGUUGCGAACGGGUGAGUAACGCGUAGGUAACCUGCCUGGUAGCGGGGGAUAACUAUUGGAAACGAUAGCUAAUACCGCAUAAUAGCAGUUAUUGCAUGAUAACUGUUUGAAAGGUGCAAUUGCACCACUACCAGAUGGACCUGCGUUGUAUUAGCUAGUUGGUGGGGUAACGGCUCACCAAGGCGACGAUACAUAGCCGACCUGAGAGGGUGAUCGGCCACACUGGGACUGAGACACGGCCCAGACUCCUACGGGAGGCAGCAGUAGGGAAUCUUCGGCAAUGGACGGAAGUCUGACCGAGCAACGCCGCGUGAGUGAAGAAGGGUUUCGGAUCGUAAAGCCCUGUUGUAAGAGAAGAACGAGUGUGAGAGUGGAAAGUUCACACUGUGACGGUAUCUUACCAGAAAGGGACGGCUGACUACGUG